UGGGGAAUAUUGGACAAUGGGCGCAAGCCUGAUCCAGCCAUGCCGCGUGAGUGAUGAAGGCCCUAGGGUUGUAAAGCUCUUUCACCGGUGAAGAUAAUGACGGUAACCGGAGAAGAAGCCCCGGCUAACUCCGUGCCAGCAGCCGCGGUAAUACGAAGGGGGCUAGCGUUGUUCGGAUUUACUGGGCGUAAAGCGCACGUAGGCGGACUAUUAAGUCAGGGGUGAAAUCCCGGGGCUCAACCCCGGAACUGCCUUUGAUACUGGUAGUCUUGAGUUCGAGAGAGGUGAGUGGAAUUCCGAGUGUAGGGGUGAAAUUCGUAGAUAUUCGGGGGAACACCAGUGGCGAAGGCGGCUCACUGGCUCGAUACUGACGCUGAGGUGCGAAAGCGUGGGGAGCAAACAGG
rnacentral:rRNA from 1 species